CGACGACUUAAGAGAGAGAGAGAGAGAGAGAGUCAGACAGACAGGGAUGACUGAAGUCUCGAAAAGUCACCGCGCCAUGUCUGAACCUCAUUUCCUUCGCAGGCAGCAAUUCAGGAAUCUAGAGCCACUAAGAAGCUCGACGUUGUUCUGAUGUUCAUCAGAUGCCGAAUCAUGGGCGCUUAAUAAUAUGUCCUCAUCAGUUGGAUCUGCCGAAAUAUCAAGAGCUGCUGAUACUGUUGCUGAAUCCUGAUCACCAUUACAGAAUGGUCAUAUUGCAGUAAUGUACCAC